rnacentral:rRNA from 1 species
UACGUAGGGUCCGAGCGUUGUCCGGAAUUACUGGGCGUAAAGAGCUCGUAGGUGGUUUGUCGCGUUGUCCGUGAAAACUCACAGCUUAACUGUGGGCGUGCGGGCGAUACGGGCAGACUGGAGUACUGCAGGGGAGACUGGAAUUCCUGGUGUAGCGGUGGAAUGCGCAGAUAUCAGGAGGAACACCGGUGGCGAAGGCGCCCACUCUGGGCCGAAACUGGACGCUGAGGAGCGAAAGCGUGGGUAG